CCUACGGGAGGCAGCAGUGGGGAAUAUUGCACAAUGGGGGAAACCCUGAUGCAGCGACGCCGCGUGAGUGAAGAAGUAAUUCGUUACGUAAAGCUCUAUUAGCAGGGAAGAAAAUGACGGUACCUGAGUAAGAAGCCCCUGCUAACUACGUGCCAGCAGCCGCGGGAAUACGGAGGGGGCAAGCGUUAGCCGGAUUUACUGGGUGUAAAGGGAGCGUAGACGGGAGUGCAAGUCUGGGGUGAAAGGCGGGGGCUCAACCCCCGGUCUGCUCUGGAAACUGUACGGCUGGAGUGCAGGAGAGGUAAGUGGAAUUCCUAGUGUAGCGGUGAAAUGCGUAGAUAUAAGGAGGAACACCAGUGGCGAAGGCGGCUUACUGGACUGUAACUGACGUUGAGGCGCGAAAGCGUGGGGAGCAAACAGGAUUAGAUACCCUAGUAGUC
rnacentral:rRNA from 1 species